GCAUUUUUUGGCUCAUGAUGUACAGUUAAGGAGAUGGCAUGGGGUAAGCAGUCAUCUGCCAAGAAGGGGCUCUGGAUAGGGUUGACUGAAGGAAGGGGCCCAGAUCCCAGAAUCUUGAAAAAGUGACAUCACUUCCUUGGUGACAGGCCCACAACUGAUUUAGAACUCUGGUAACCAGGCACCUGCAUUCUACAACAGCUCACUUUACUGGAGACGGUCAAGAGAACAAGAUGUUCUCUUGCUGUUGUCCUACUUUUAGGGGCUCUGGGCUCAGGAGAGUCCAGAGUGAGAGACAUUGAUGUAGCUGUCGACGUCAGCUCGGCCCUCUUCUCCGAAGCUUCUGGUUAUGUGGUGGGAGACCUCAACAGGUACCACAAGGCAACUUGGGGAGGCCACUGGAGAGCAGGCACACUGUGAUCUCAUUUGAGCAGGCUUGUACCUCUUACACCUCAUUGUGUGUGUGUCUGUGUGUUUAUGUGUGUGUGAGUGUGUCUGGGUCUGUGUGUGUGUGUAUGUGUGUGUGUGUGUGUGUGCGUGUGUGUGUGUGUAGAGGGGACAGAGGAGAGGAACAUGCCCUUCCUGGGCACAAACCAGCUGCCAGGUGUUGGAAGCCUGACACAUCUUUUGUGUUCAGACCCCAGGUCAUAGCAGGCGAGAUGAGAAGGUGAGUUCUGGGGACCAAGCUCAAAUUCCAAUAUGUUAGUCAUGAGCCCAAGAGCCUCUUUCAUCUGGCUUCCUCCUUGCCAGAUGUCUCCACAGCUGCCCCUCUGGCCUGAACAGGAGAACACGAUUUCUAAUGGGGGUGUCCCCUUGGGGGUGAUGUCGAGGGAGGACCCUAAUGUCUCUUGGCCCUGUAUAUAUGGGGCACUGUAUUUGCAGAGCUGCACCCAGGAGAUCUUGGAGGAGAUGGUCUGUGGCUUCAACUAUUCCAACUCCCUAGACAAUGAUCAGGUGCACCAGACAAACAGGGAUCAGUGCUGUUCUGAGUGCUGCAAGGAACACCUUAUGUAUCCCUACAGACUGUUUUGGUUGCUAGAUCUGCCAUAACCUGGAACCCCAGAUUAGGGGGAAGGCCUCUGAUGCCUCCUGGCACCAGUAGCUGGCUCUUUUUGUAAUGAUCCACCCAGGAAAUCUUGGAUGAGUUACUUCAAGAGUUCAACUCCUCCAUCUCCCCUGACAAGCACAGGGGCAUCAGGCCACCAACAUCCAUUGAAGGUCUGCGGUGAGAACAGGUCCACUUUCAUGGUCAAACUCAAGACCCAGAGAUGAUCAGAGCAAGCCCAGAACCCAGGCUAGAAACAACUGACACCCUUGGAACCUGCAGGAGAAGGAAUCAACCCUAUCCCUGGGUGAGGCCAGGACCAUGCUGAUGCUCAGAGAAGGGAGAAUGGAUGAUUUUCUACAGUCCUUGGGACCAUCCUUCCAGGACAGAAGCCUUGCAAACAACCCAGUCAUUUCCUGUCUCUACCAGGUGUUCACCACAGCCCAACAGGUCCUGGGCCAGCAAUUCCCCAGCUUCAUUUUGGGAGCUUCCUGUGAAGAGGCAAACGAGUCAAAGAGAGCUGUAGAUGGGGUCCCAAGCCCUCUGGGAAGCGGAGCACAGUCUGGGCCAAUUCGGUGCCUCAAACAUCCAUCCCUUCAACUGUCCCAUCUUGCUCUUCCUACACUUCCCUCUACCACCUCUUCUGACCUCCACAACUGGGGCCAAGAACAGAAGCUUUGGUGAGCAGACCACUCACCAAUCUGCCACAAACCUAAGCCCCGAUACUGGUGUGCAAGGAGGAUGGAGUACACGAGGCCCUUGGCCAUUGAGAAAAGAGGAUAAGUAGAAAAACCAGACUCAUACAGGUUUUCUGGACGACCAGGUCAUCCACUGCAAGGACAGCAACAGGGGGGUUGGAAGUCAUGCUGGGGACAUUCUCUGGGACCCACACAGAAAGAAUGGUGCUAUGGGAGUACCAUGUGGCAUGAAAGGCCAUGCUCUGAAGCUGCUCCGCAUAUGACUCUCCCCAGCACCCUCUCUCCCAUCUUGGGUACCUGGCCUGACCAGAAGCUGCAGGACACCUGGAAAUCCCUGCACUGUGCCUGUUUUGAAGUAAAGGGGGCCUGGGUGCAGGCAAAUUUGUAUGACCUGAAUUGCCAUGCUCCCAUUAUGGUAAUGCCCCGGGAACUUCUGCAGCUCACUGAGGCAGACACAGAGUCAGAGGUGCCAGCUCCACGGCUCCUUCCAGCAUCUCCUCCAUCAGCUGUUCCAGACCUGGAACAAGAGCCUGUGCCUUCUUCAUGCGUACCAGGUCAUGAGCCGCAGUCAGUUCCACCACCAGCUUUCCUGGGGAUUGUCACUCCUUCCCUAAGCAUAAAGACAGAGUGACCUCCAGCCCCAGAGGCGACCUACCACUGGUGCGUAACCCCCGAGCACCAGCUGCAUGAGGAGAAGCCCGGGCUCAUGGACUUCCCUCCCAAACUGGUGGCAGAGCAGUUGACAUCCAUAGACGUGGAUCUGUUCAAGAAAGUGCUGUCCCAACAGUGCCUGAGCUCCAUUUGGUCCAAGAGAAAUGAACCUGGGAAUGAGCACCUGACACGCACAGUCAGUGCCACUAUCACUCAGUUCAACAACGUGGCCAAUGCGUCAUCACCACCUGCCUUGGCAACCCACGCAUGACAGCCUGGGACAGGGCCAUGGUGGUGGAGCACUGGAUCAAAGUGGCCAAGGCCUGUCAAAUCUUAUGGAACUACUCUUCCAUGCAUGCCAUCAUCUCUGCUCUGCAGAAUGUCUCAGUUCACCACCUGAAGAACACAUGGGCCAAAGUUUCCAGGAAGAAGAUUCAAACAUUUAAAAAAAUGUGCACCAAGGACAAUCCACAGAGCAGGAACCUGCUUAUCCAAGUAGCGUGGAAGGUGUUGGUAUAGAAAGAGAAGAGGCAUGGGAGGAACGGCGUCCUUCGUGAAUGAAUUAGGGACUGGCCAGGAGCAUUCCUUCAGGAAGUGAAGGCUUUGGCAUGAACGUGGACGCAGCCUGGGGUGAAAAUCCACAAUGGGUGGAAAAACAGUUGCUGCUCAACCAGAAUCCCUAGGCUGGACACACAUGCUCCCUGUUGCCAGCUGAUCCAAAUGGGGGCCUCUACCAAACUUGAGAGCCCAGAGGACAUGCCUCUGCUCAGUGAUGGGUUUGGAUGGGAUGAGGGCCACAACAAUGAUGAUAGGAAUAGGACACUGGGUCCUCAGGAGACCAAGGGAGGGAGCUGGAAUUCUCACCUUUCCCAGUGAGGAACCAGGCUCAGGGAGGCCAGGCUGCAAGCUCAAGGCCACACAUGGAGUGAAUGUUGGAGCUGAGGUUGUUCUAGAAUCAUUCAUGACAGGCUUAAGGAUAACGUAGCAUGCUACCCUCUGCCUUAGGUCAGAUGUCCAGGGUCUGAAGUCAAAGAUGGUGGGGAGAAGCGGCCCGAGGUGAUUAUAGUCUUGAGGAACUUGUCUUUGGCCCUGCAGGAACGGCCAUCUAAACUUGGAACCCUGGGGAUAAAUGUCCAGAGAGCAUGGAAGAGGGGGCAGCAGAAGAAGCUGAGCAUGCCCCAGAUACGUGGCCUCGAGCCCAGAGGAGAAGGGGUCUUCCCUGAAAGCUGGAAGCCACCAAAUUAAGACAGCCUCCCCGCUGCCCCUGGGAGCUAGGGUUACUUGCCCAUGUCUGUGAUGAGUGAAGGGAGGCUGCACUUAGUUCACUGGUCCUGAGAUCAAGUCUGCUGCCUGAAUGCCAAGCAGCAUGAGGGCAAUGAGAUCAACCACUGGAAGAAGAAUAAGCUACAUCCUGUCCUGCCAGCUGGAGCCCUGAACCUAGCUCACAAACAGGAAGAACUGGCCACAGUCAACCUCAGGCCUGAGCUGGUGUCCAGGGGCAACAACGGGCACAGGACCCACCUGCUUGACACCACUUCCUUCCGUCUCUUUACUUAUUUGGAGGACUAAUAUUUCAUUGUCUUAAAUAGUAAAUGGUAGAUUUCAAUAUUAUAAUAUUAAAGCCUCU